UUGUAAUUCUGUCAAAAAACGAGAUCAGGUUAGUCUGACAUGACUUAUUUUUCAGAAAUCCAUGCUGACUAUUGGUGUUGGACUACAUAAAAUGAGAUUGGGAGCUGCAUGCGUCUCCCAGGUUGCAGGUUGUCCACCAUGAACUAGAGCAAUGUAUUACUUAACAACACUACUCCACGUUGCUCCAAACUGCUGAUGUUGUAGACAGUCACAAUGCCAGCAGGGCUCAAAGCCAGAAUCUCUUCUGAAUGCGUCAGUGGGACGCAUGAAGCAACAAUAGUGCUUCUGACUGAAAGUAGCCCCAUGCUGUUUUCAACAAUUGUGCUUAAGGUACACCAGUGACACAGUGUCCUUCAGGAACAAUAUGUGCAUAUUCUAACAUACCUGAGUACAUGCAUUGGGGAGAAACAGACUCAUUUGUAACCAUAUGUUUAAUUGUUAUUACAUUUCCUCCAAAGAACUCACAAAGGCAUACAUGGUUCUCUUCUCCAGGAUUUCAUACAGGUGAUAUUUCCAGUCCUACCUAGAGAUGGUGAUACCUAGAGAGCCGUCUGAGACUUUCUGCCUGGAAGACGGAUGCUUUUACCACUGAGCUAUGGUGCUUCCCCAGUAAACAUUGUCAGACAUCCAGAUUAAGUGGCAUAUUGCUCUGUAGCUUCUAAACCAGGGGUCAGCAACCUUUUUCAGCCGUGGGCUGUCCCUCAGAUCAUGUGGUGGGCUAGACUGUUUUUUUUGGGGGGGGGGAUGAAUGAAUGCCUAUGUCCCACAAAUAACCCAGAGAAGCAUUUUAAAUAAAAGCACACAUUCCACUCAUGUAAAAACACCAGGCAGGCCCCACAAAUAACCCAGAGAUGCAUUUUAAAUAAAAGGACACAUUCUACUCAUGUAAAAACACGCUAAUUCCCUGACCAUUCGCAGGCCGGAUUUAGAAGGCGACUGGGUCAGAUCCAGCCCCUGGGCCUUAGGUUGCCUACCCCUGUUCUAAAACAGUUCAGAGCCUGAGUCCCUUAAAAAAAACAAAAAUCCUAGCUGGUUGAAGGCUUAUACAAAGUGGUCUUAGAGACAUGACCUGAGUUUUGCUAGACAACACUGUCUGCAGAUGUAGUGCAAACAAUAGUUGCUAAAUGCCACGCACAUAUUUACUCCAAGAAGUUAGCAUGAUCUCGACCAAGUUAAGCAUGUCAAGGUCCCUUUGAUUUCAGUCGUUACUAAUUUUGCUUUCUGUUUAAUCCAGGCUAAAGUUUAGUGCACAAUCAACAUUUCUGUUAGAAAAUGUUGACUUUGGUGAUCUAUUAUCUCCAAACAAACAUCAAAUGUCAAUUCCCAUCAACAUUCUGGGACCAAUAAUCUGUGGUUUUCCUUAAUGUAGCUUUUCAAAUUUAAAACGUUUUUAUGUCAUUCAAAAUUAAGAUGUCAAAUAGUUUUGCUUAAGAACACUGAAAUUUUCUUCUUCAACAUUUCUGAGAAACGUGUUCUCUGAAAUUAAUUUAACCCACUCAGUUUUCUAUUAUCCUCUGCAGUUAAAACCACAUAGAAAAAUUUGUGCCAUAAGAAGUUUCAGUUACUUAGCCACCUGCUUAUUUGUGACUUGCAAGACAGAUAUUCUUGGAGUACUGUUCUCUUAAUCAAAAAAGGAGACUGAUCAGGUUUUUCCUGUUACCCCUUAGGCAAUAAAGCUACAAUUCUCAAAUCAUUUAGUUUUGGAGUAGUGCCAUUAUUACCCUCAGUGCGGCUGCUCCAGAGUAAUGCUUUUUAAUGAUUAUGGUAUUUUUGUUUUGUUUUAUGUUUUAAACUGCUUUAAAAGCAUAUGCUGAAAAGUGGUCUAAAAAUAUCACUAAAAAAAGGGAAUUUGAUUGCAGUUUUAAGCACAUCAGAAUUAAAUAUUCAUAAAGUGCCUAUUGGAUAUACUAAGGUUCUGCGCAGAAGGAAAAUUAAUGUGUGCCUGCUACAAUCUUAACAGCACAGAAAGGUAAGAAUUUGAGGAAGAUUCCAAGAUUUUUAGCCAAGCCUGUGGGAAUGGGAAAAGGAGGAAAAACAACUUUGCUAGGAUAAAGGAAUAAACAAAUGCAGGAUACUAUCCAUCUUGUUGGGGACUAUGGCAAGUAAAUUUCCUUUCCGGUGCUUGAAAAAGUAUCUUCCUGAAUUUUGUCCUUUCCAUGACCUUCAUACAAAACAGAGGCCGUGUUGCAAUGUAAAAAUUCCAAAAUUUAUAAAACAACCAGCAUCAUUAUUUUAAAACGUACCGUAUCUGAAAUUGUGUAUUAAAUGGGUUGUACCAGGGAGCCUUGGGCUUGCCGAUCAGAAGGUCGGUGGUUCGAAUCCCCACGAUGGGGUGAGCUCCCGUUUGGUCCCAGCUCCUGCCCACCUAGCAGUUUGAAAGCACGUCAAAGUGCAAGUAGAUAAAUAGGUACCGCUCCGGCGGGAAGGUAAACGGCGUUUCCGUGCACUGCUCUGGUUCGCCAGAAAGUGGCUUAGUCAUGCUGGCCACAUGACCCAGAAGCUGUCUGCGGACAAAUGCCGGCUCCCUCGGCCUAUAGAGCGAGAUGAGCACCGCAACCCCAGAGUCAUCCACGACUGGACCUAAUGGUCAGGGGUAUCUUUACCUUUACCUUUGUAUACAGUAGUUGAAUCCUUAAAUGUAAAAUAGCGAAUUCACUUAAGAAGCAAUAUAUCUAUUGUGUAUCAAGUCUUCUACUGCUUUGAUAAACUGCUUAGGAACCUCAAAAUGAUUAUCCUCUCCCUGCUCCCUUUAGAAAACAUAAUAUUUACUGCAAAUAUUGCAAGAAAGAUAACUAAUUAUAUACAGAUAUUAAAGCAAAUCAGAAUACAUCCCCACAGGAUGUAUUUUUUUUCUUUUCAGGUAUUUCUGUACAUAAGAUCAGGAACCAGACAGGGGAAUGUUAUCUGAACCACCAGGAUUUUCCUUUUCACCACUUUGAGAAGAGAAUUUGGCCAUUGUUACUACUUUUCCAAAUUCUAUUAAUCCACCCUCUAUUAAGAGGGUGAAGCUAAGCACUCCCAUGUACUUGCCUAUACAGAUUGGACUCCCAGAAACAAAGUGCAAAGCAAAACCUCCUGUGAGUACAAUGGACCAUUUGGUCAAAGUCGUUUGAAUGAAUCCAUUUUGGAUCCUUAGGGAAUGCAGAGUGAAAUACAUUCUCACAUUUUGCAAGCACUAUAGUCUAACAAUGGGAUGCGGGUGGCGCUGUAGUCUAAACCACUGAGCCUAGGGCUCGCCGAUCAGAAGGUUGGUGGUUUGAAUCCCCACGACGGGGUGAGCUCUCGUUGCUCAGUCCCUGCUCCUGCCAACCUAGCAGUUCGAAAGCAGGUCAAAGUGCAAGUAGAUAAAUAAGUACCACUCCGGCGGGAAAGUAAACGGCAUUUUUGUGCACUGCUCUGGUUCACCAGAAGCAGCUUAGUCAUGCUGGCCACAUGACCCGGAAAGCUAUACAUUGGCUCCCUCAGCCAGUAAAGCGAGAUGAGCGCUGCAACCCCAGAAUCAUUUGUGACUGGACCUAACGGUCAGGGGUCCCUUUACCUUUACCUAUAGUCUAAUAAUCUUGCAUUUGUUCACAUUCCCAUCAAGCUACUUGUCCACAGACAUCUCAACAUUUGGAAGAGUACUCUGCAAGUGAUUUUGUGUAUUUUGGCAUAAAUAAUAAACCACAAUUACAUUAAUAAAAGUUGUGUUUCUUGCCAAUUAGUGCACACUGUGUGUAUGAAAGUACAUUCUCCAGAUUUUUUGCCAUAACCAUUAUUCUGUUUUUUAUCUUAGAUUAUGCUUUCAAACCUGGGAAACUAAUAUAUUUGUGGUAACUAUACUAUAUCCGAAAUGCUUUUCAAACAAGGAGGGAGAGAGAGAGAAAGAGAGGGAGUGUACAUGUAUGUUUGUGUAUACAUCCCUCUAUAUGUAUGGAGCUAUGCAGGGCUUUUUUCGAGUGGAACUCACCGGAACUCAGUUCCAGCACCUCUCAGGUAAGCACCAUUGCGAUUAUAUGAGAACAAGGGAGGUGUUCAUAGUGAGUUCCAGCACCUCUUUUUCUAGAAAAAUAGCACUGGAGUUAUGUAUGUCAAUCAACUGUCUAUCUCUUCACUUCUGUGAAUGGAAUAGAGUGGGGUGGGGUAUCAUGAUGCCCUUUGCCUCAGGCAGCAAAAUGUCUUGAGCCACUCCUGAAAACAAUCAAGGUGCUCAGAGAGAUUUACAAUGCAUAUUAAUUUUAUUGUCCCAACAACAUUCUUUUAAGUCAUUAGUACCUAGGCCUGGCCCUAUAAAAUAUGAUGUCCUAAUCAAAAUGUAACAUCUUAGCAUUGAUUAUCCACAAAAUAAUGUUCUAAAAGUAUAUUGAGAAGUGUUAUCGUUGUGAAAAGUUAUUGCCUAGCUUUAUAUAGGUUUUGGCAGCAAGCCUAUGCAUGUUUAUCCUGGAAUAAGCUUCACUGAGCACAGCAGGACUCAUUUCUGAAUAACUAUGUAUAAGAUUGAGCUGUUUGACAGUGAAUCUUCAAGCCUAAUAUUCUAUUGCAGCGAGUAAGGACACCCACUUUGUUUUGCUGCCUACUGAGCAAUAAUUGAUCAGCAUGGAAACAAACACACUUUUCUUUCCCACUACCAAUUUAGAUUUCAUGUAAAGACCAAAAUUUAGUUUCAAUCAAUAUCCAGUAUCAGUACUUCUACUGAAUGUUCUUGAUCAGUAUAUGUAAGACAAUAUGUAAGACAGUACCUUUGAGCAUGGUUUUGUUAUUUUAUUUAUUGAACAAAAUUUAUAUACCACUUGACUGUAAAAAAUCCUUUAAGCAGUUACAAGAAAUAUUAAAACCAUCAGCAAUAUUAAAUUUAUUUGAAGGGCACAUUCAAUAAUUUCAGCCCAUCAAAAAAACAUUUGGAUACAACUAUUCUAGGUCAAUGAGUGUGGCUGGCAGAUUUGAGCCUACUCCUUCACCCCCAUUUUCCAGGUCUGUGGGUCUGAGAAGCUAUAUUGUAAGAAUGGCAGAAUGAUGGUAAGGUUUGCAGAAUAAGACCAUCAAUAACAGCUGAGAUGAGUUGGGAGCAAAAUUUGCAAGUGCAUUUUAAGGUGGAAGACUAGACAGAUUGUACACGUGCCAUUUAAACCUGACAAGAUGUAAAGUGGAUGGUAUGGCGGUGUCAUCUUUCUUAGGUGCACUCAAGCAGCAGAAUGUUAUCCAGUAAACUGUGUGUUGCAAGUUGUGGGGAGAGCAAUCUGUUUUGGCAGCUCUUUUUGGCUGCAAUCCCAUGCACAGUUCAGCUACUUUUAUCCCUCCAACUACAAAAGGGUUUUAACAGUCUAACUGUGCCCAGGAUUAUAGCUCUUGGGUAUUACAUUUGAUACAAUUACUACUUGAAACUCAAGAGCAUAUUCUACAUUUAUAAUACAAGAGGCUUCAAAUCAUCCUUUGGAGGGACUGUUACAGCCAUUUUUCUCCAUAAGAAAACAUUGUCAAUGAGAACUUAUUUGCUACAUCACUACAAAUAAGCGUUUAGACAAUUUGGUGGUGACUAGCGUUCUUGGAAACAAAAUUAGUAUGAAAAAGCAAUGCUGUUGGGUUCUACCUUUUCUUCGAAUAGUUCAAAGUGGCAAACAUCAGGUUAUGUCAUCUCCCCCCUCACAAUUUCCUUUGAGGUAGUUUAGGCUGAAAGAAUAGGAGUGGCCCAAUAUCAUCCUGUCAGCUUUGCUGUUGAGCAAGUCCAUCAUUGUUCACAACACCAUAAUGCACAGUGACCACUGACAUAACUGUCUCCUUCUGUCUGGCAGAUAAGGUGAGCCCACAAGCCAUCAUUUGCUAAGGGCUGCCCCAAACCUGGAGCUUUUAUUUGGGAAUGAAAGAAGAGCUAAAGCUUGACAGCAACAAAAACCUAGAAGCUAGUUGAACCAAUCUUAAAAAUUUGCUCUAAGGCUGCUCAGAGUGGUUGGUUAAUAAAACUGUUUCAUAAAGAGAAUGUCAGGGCAUUGUUUGUUUGUUUGUUUGUUUGUUUGUUUGUUUGUUAAAUUUCUAUGUGCCCUUCAUCCAAGGAUCACAAUAUAAAAACACAAAAAUACACAACAUAAUAACAAACAAAACAACCCCCCCCCCCCAGUUUAAAAGACCAUAGAUUGUUUAAUUACCCCAAGGCCUGGGAGAAGAGGAAUGCUUUUGCCUGGUGCCUAAAGAUAUCUAACAAAGGCACCAUGGAAGCCUCCCUGGGAAGAGCAUUCCACAAAUGGGGAGGCAUUGCUGAAAAGGUCCAUUCUGGUGUUGCCACCCACUGGACCUCUCAUGGAAGGAGCACAUGAAUAAGGGCAUCAAAUUACGAUUGCAGGGUCCACAUCAGUUUAUAUGGGGAGAGGCAGUCCUUGAGGUAUUGUGGUCCUGAGCUGUUUAAGGCUUUAUGGGUCAAAACCUGCACUUUGAGUUGGGCCCGGAAAAUGAUUGGCAGCCAGUGCAGUUGGGCAAGGAUUGGUGUUAUAUGCUCAAAUUGUACUGCCCAGGUGAGCAACAGUGGCCCACUAAAUUUUGCACCAGAUAAUAAUAUAAUAAUAAAUUUUAUUUAUAUCCCGCUCUCCCCAGCCGAAGCCGGGCUCAGGGCGGCUGAGAUGUUUUCCAUAACGUCUUUAGAGACAGCCCCAUGUAUAAUACAUUGCAGUAACCUAACCUAGAGAUUAUCGGAACAUAGACAACAGAAGUUAGGCAAUUCCCAUCCAGAUAGGGAUGCAGCUGGGCCAUCAGUCAAAACUGAUGGAAAGCAUUCUGCACCACCAAGGCCAUCUGAGCCUCAAGCAACAGCAAUGGACCCAAAAGUAACCACAAGCUAUGGUACAUACCUGCUCCGUUAGAGGGAGUGUACCCCUAUCAAGAGCAGGCUACUACCCAUCCAUCAAGUCUAGGGAACUAAGCAACAAACAGUGCC